AGUGAACGCUGGCGGUAGGCCUAACACAUGCAAGUCGAACGGCAGCACAGUAAGAGCUUGCUCUUACGGGUGGCGAGUGGCGGACGGGUGAGGAAUACAUCGGAAUCUACUUUUUCGUGGGGGAUAACGUAGGGAAACUUACGCUAAUACCGCAUACGACCUACGGGUGAAAGCAGGGGAUCUUCGGACCUUGCGCGAUUGAAUGAGCCGAUGUCGGAUUAGCUAGUUGGCGGGGUAAAGGCCCACCAAGGCGACGAUCCGUAGCUGGUCUGAGAGGAUGAUCAGCCAGACUGGAACUGCGACACGGUCCAGACUCCUACGGGAGGCAGCAGUGGGGAAUAUUGGACAAUGGGCGCAAGCCUGAUCCAGCCAUACCGCGUGGGUGAAGAAGGCCUUCGGGUUGUAAAGCCCUUUUGUUGGGAAAGAAAAGCAGCAGGUUAAUACCCCGCUGUUCUGACGGUACCCAAAGAAUAAGCACCGGCUAACUUCGUG
rnacentral:rRNA from 1 species